CAAAAAUGAACUCUGAUCAAUCGACAUUUCAAACAAAACUAUAAAUACGACAAAUGUUAAUUGAACAUUAAAAAAGAAAAAAAAAAAGAAAAGAAGUUUAGAAAAAAUAAAUUUUCGAUAAUCAACACCCGCGUUACAAUAAUGCAACGAAAAUAAUAUUACUAAUAUUUAUUAAUUUUGACGAUUCGACUCUAAUAACGAACAAACAGAAAGAUAAGACAACGACCAGAGAGGAGGAGAAAAAAAAAUGAAAAAGAAAUAGAGGUAGAUUAAAAUGGAAAAAAAUAAGAGGAAAAAAAAUACGUUGAGACGGGCGAUUGUAAUAUAAUUUUCAAUAAACUGCCAAUCAUCGAGUACCUUUGGGGAAUAAAAAAAGAACAACCGAUUGAGUCAACUGCAGGGAAAAGAAAAUUGUUUAUCGCCCUACGUUCUAGAACUGUAGAGAAUUAAAAUUCAGGGAGCUUAACCUUCCUACGGGAUGAUAGACGGGGGAUGAAGAUCCUCGGCUAUAAAAAGGCAGUGUUUACGAGCAGUAUCAGUCAUUUGCUUCGCGGUUUUCCAUCUUCUAUCAUUACCUAUGAAACUGAUUUUCGUGCUCUGUAGCAUGUUUGCAAUCAUAUGGUUACUUCAUGGACAAGAUGCUUCCGUUUCCAGAAUAUCUUUUCAACGUAUACAAAGAAAUCGUCCAAUACACCUCGGAUACGCUAGAAAUGAAAAAACUGGAGACGGGGAUCAUUCAGAUUCGAGUAAACAACUGCAAAACGUAGAUUUUGAUUACGGUUAUAUGAAAUACGGAAAA
rnacentral:misc_RNA from 1 species